AUAAAUCUUUCCUUCACUGUUUUCUUCAAACCCUACUGUGAAAUGUUUUACAGGGUCAAAGAGGAGAAGCUGGUGAAAGAGGAGUAGAUGGGAUGAAAGGGGAAAAGGGAGAUUCUGGGCGACCUGGUGUCCAUGGUUUACCCGGGCCAGCUGGCCAGAAAGGAGAGAAAGGGACAUCAGGAGAGCCCGGUCAGAGGGGUCAGAUCGGCCAUCAGGGGCUCCCUGGACAGACAGGACAGACCGGACCCUCGGGGCCCAGAGGACUGAGCGGAGAAAUAGGCCCCCCGGGAACACCUGGACCGGAAGGACGACCUGUAAGUAUCGUGUUUCCAAAUAAAUAUAUUGUUUAGCCUUCUUCUGCAAUAAGAUAAUCUAGUCAAUGAAGGAUAAAAUAUUGCAUAGACAAUUAAAUAGACACUCUUGUUCCAACGAAGACAUGCAUUUUCACAGGGCAGAGAGCUGUCUGAGC
rnacentral:lncRNA from 1 species